UGGGGAAUUUUGGACAAUGGGCGAAAGCCUGAUCCAGCCAUGCCGCGUGCAGGAUGAAGGCCUUCGGGUUGUAAACUGCUUUUGUACGGAACGAAACGGUCUUUUCUAAUAAAGAAGGCUAAUGACGGUACCGUAAGAAUAAGCACCGGCUAACUACGUGCCAGCAGCCGCGGUAAUACGUAGGGUGCAAGCGUUAAUCGGAAUUACUGGGCGUAAAGCGUGCGCAGGCGGUGAUGUAAGACAGUUGUGAAAUCCCCGGGCUCAACCUGGGAACUGCAUCUGUGACUGCAUCGCUGGAGUACGGCAGAGGGGGAUGGAAUUCCGCGUGUAGCAGUGAAAUGCGUAGAUAUGCGGAGGAACACCGAUGGCGAAGGCAAUCCCCUGGGCCUGUACUGACGCUCAUGCACGAAAGCGUGGGGAGCAAACAGG
rnacentral:rRNA from 1 species